GUAACAGGAAGCAGCUUGCUUGCUUUGCUGACGAGUGGCGGACGGGUGAGUAAUGUCUGGGAAACUGCCUGAUGGAGGGGGAUAACUACUGGAAACGGUAGCUAAUACCGCAUAACGUCGCAAGACCAAAGAGGGGGACCUUCGGGCCUCUUGCCAUCGGAUGUGCCCAGAUGGGAUUAGCUAGUAGGUGGGGUAACGGCUCACCUAGGCGACGAUCCCUAGCUGGUCUGAGAGGAUGACCAGCCACACUGGAACUGAGACACGGUCCAGACUCCUACGGGAGGCAGCAGUGGGGAAUAUUGCACAAUGGGCGCAAGCCUGAUGCAGCCAUGCCGCGUGUAUGAAGAAGGCCUUCGGGUUGUAAAGUACUUUCAGCGGGGAGGAAGGCGAUAAGGUUAAUAACCUUGUCGAUUGACGUUACCC
rnacentral:rRNA from 1 species